UACAGAGGUCUCAAGCGUUGUUCGGCUUCAUUGGGCGUAAAGGGUGCGUAGGCGGCGCGGUAAGUCGGAUGUGAAAUCUCGGAGCUUAACUUCGAAACUGCAUUCGAUACUGCCGUGCUUGAGGACUGGAGAGGAGACUGGAAUUUACGGUGUAGCGGUGAAAUGCGUAGAUAUCGUAAGGAAGACCAGUGGCGAAGGCGGGUCUCUGGACAGUUCCUGACGCUGAGGCACGAAGGUCAGGGGAGCAAACGGG
rnacentral:rRNA from 1 species